UACGUAGGGUGCAAACGUUGUUCGGAAUCACUGGGCAUAAAGAGCGCGUAGGCGGUCUAAUAAGUCCUGUGUGAAAGCCCCCGGCUCAACCGGGGAAUUGCACAGGAUACUGUUGGGCUAGAGUACAGGAGGGGAGAGCGGAAUUCCUGGUGGAGCGGUGAAAUGCGUAGAUAUCCGGAGGAACACCGGUGGCGAAGGCGGCUUCCUGGACCGACACUGACGCUGAGGCGCGAAAGCUAGGGGAGCAAACGGG
rnacentral:rRNA from 1 species